UACGAAGGGGGCUAGCGUUGCUCGGAAUUACUGGGCGUAAAGCGCGCGUAGGCGGAUCGUUAAGUCGGGGGUGAAAUCCUGGAGCUCAACUCCAGAACUGCCUUUGAUACUGGCGAUCUUGAGUCCGGGAGAGGUGAGUGGAACUCCGAGUGUAGAGGUGAAAUUCGUAGAUAUUCGGAAGAACACCAGUGGCGAAGGCGGCUCACUGGCCCGGUACUGACGCUGAGGUGCGAAAGCGUGGGGAGCAAACAGG
rnacentral:rRNA from 1 species